rnacentral:rRNA from 1 species
UUAGCAUGCAAGUCGAACGGGAUUGAGGCCCUUCGGGGCUUCAUGAGAGUGGCGAACGGGUGAGUAACACGUAGGUGAUCUACCCUCGGGUGGGGAAUAGCCCAUGGAAACAUGGGAUAAUACCGCAUGAGGUCUUUGGGCGUGAAGCCCAUGGAUGAAAGGAGCAAUUGUUCCGCCUGGGGAUGAGCCUGCGGUCCAUUAGCUAGUUGGUGUGGUAAGGGCGCACCAAGGUGACGAUGGAUAGCCGGCCUGAGAGGGUGAACGGUCACACUGGGACUGAGACACGGCCCAGACUCCUACGGGAGGCAGCAGCUAAGAAUCUUCCGCAAUGGGGGAAACCCUGACGGAGCGACGCCGCGUGGGCGAAGAAGGCCGCAAGGUUGUAAAGCCCUUUUCUUGACGAAGAAUAAGGUCAGGAGUGGAACGCCUGGCCGAUGACGUUAGUCGAGGAAGAAGCCCCGGCCAAUUACGUGCCAGCAGCCGCGGUAACACGUAUGGGGCAAGCGUUGUUCGGAAU